UGAGCAAUCUGCCCUUCUCAUCGGAAUAAGCGUUGGAAAUGACGUCUAAUGCCGAAUACGACCUCCUUUCGCAUGAUCGGAGGUGGAAAGCUCCGGCGGAGAAGGAUGAGCUCGCGGCCUAUCAGCUAGUUGGUGUGGGUAACGGCCCACCAAGGCGACGACGAGUAGCCGGCCUGAGAGGGUGACCGGCCACACUGGGACUGAGACACGGCCCAGACUCCCGUAGGGA
rnacentral:rRNA from 1 species